UAAUACGGAGGGUGCAAGCGUUAUCCGGAUUCACUGGGUUUAAAGGGAGCGUAGGAGGGCAGGGAAGUCAGUGGUGAAAUCCCCGUGCUUAACAUGGGAACUGCCGUUGAUACUCUCUGUCUUGAAUAGGGUGGAGAUGAGCGGAAUAUGUCAUGUAGCAGUGAAAUGCUUAGAGAUGACAUAGAACACCAAUUGCGAAGGCAGCUCGUUACACCCAUAUUGACUCUGAGGCUCGAAAGCGUGGGGAUCAAACAGGAUUAGAUACCCUGGUAGUCCACGCCCUAAACGAUGGAUACUCGACGUGCGCGAUACACGGUGCGCGUCUGAGCGAAAGCAUUAAGUAUCCCACCUGGGAAGUACGACCGCAAGGUU
rnacentral:rRNA from 1 species